GAGGGCGCAGCCCGGCAGCCCCGCGGGGAGAUCCGGCGGGGGGGCGAGCAAUCAUAGUAAUAGUCGUCUAUCUCUAAGAGAACGAGAAAAGCACAGCCGAGAUGCUCCGUCCGUGACCCGCAGGCGGGGAAAGGGGUGGGGGGGCCAGGUUGUGAGUCCGCCAAACACCUGAGAAAUAAAGCACGACCGAACAAUUUUCGAGGCGGGCGGGGGAAGUGGGGGGCGAAAAGUUUGCCGGAGCUCGGGCGUCUCUGGGGGGGGCGGGCGCGAUGCCGCCCUGGCUGCUCGGCAGCCUCUGCUGCGUCCUGGCGGCGCGGGCGGCGCUGGGCGGCGGCUCCGCGGGCGCGGAGGAGGAGGAGGAGGAGAAGCUGAUCCGGGUGCUGGUGCUGCUGCCGCAGGACGACGCCUACCUCUUCUCGCUGGGGCGGGUGCGCCCGGCCAUCGAGUACGCGGUGCGGAGCCUGCGGGAGAGCGGCGCGGGUCUGCCGCCCGGCUACGCCUUCCAGCUCACCUACGAGGACUCGGCGUGCGGCAACCGCGCCCUGUUCAGCCUGGUGGACAUGGUGGCCCUGCAGCGCCGCCGCCCCGACCUGCUGCUGGGGCCCGUGUGCGAGUACGCGGCGGCGCCCGUGGCGCGGCUGGCGGCGCACUGGGACGUGCCGAUGCUGUCGGCGGGCGCGCUGGCCGCGGGCUUCGGCGCCAAGGCCGGCGAGUACUCGCACCUCACCCGCGUGGCCCCCGCCUACGCCAAGAUGGGCGAGAUGCUGCUGGCCCUCUUCCGCCACCACCAGUGGAACCGGGCCACGCUGCUCUACAGCGACAGCAACCCCGAGCGCAGCUGCUACUUCGCCAUGGAGGGCGUCCAUGUGGUCUUCCAGGAGGAAGCCUUCCACAUGGCCGUGCACAGCUUCGACGAGACCAGCCGCCACCUCGACCUCGACGACGUCGUCCGCGCUCUCCAGACCGGCGAGAGGGUUGUAAUCAUGUGUGCCAGCGGUGACACUAUCAGGAACAUCAUGUUGGCUGCUCAUCGGCAAGGAAUGACCAACGGGGACUACGCUUUCUUCAACAUUGAACUCUUCAACAGCUCAUCAUAUGGAAAUGGUUCUUGGAGAAGAGGAGACAAACAUGACCUUGAAGCCAAGAAAGCAUACUCGUACCUCCAGACUGUCACUCUGCUAAGGACCGUGAAGCCUGAGUUUGAGAAGUUUUCAUUGGAGGUGAAAAGUUCUGUUCAGAAGCAAGGUCUUCAUGAGGAUGACUAUGUGAACAUGUUUGUGGAAGGAUUCCAUGAUGCUAUUCUUCUUUAUGCUCUAGCUUUACAGGAAGUCCUGAAGUUUGGUUUCACUAAGAAAGAUGGGGAAAAAAUUGUUCAGCAAACACGGAACAGAACAUACGAAGGCAUUGCAGGGCAGGUGUCCAUUGAUGCAAAUGGAGACAGAUACGGGGAUUUCUCUGUGAUUGGAAUGACAGACCCAGAGGCAGGCACACAGGAGGUGAUCGGGGACUACUAUGGAAAGCAGGGGCGUUUUGAGAUUCGGUCAAAUGUGAAAUACCCUUGGAAUCAUGGCAGGCUGCGGCUAGAUGAAAGCCGAGUUUCAGAGCACACAAACAAUACACCGUGUAAAUCAUCAGGUGGUCUAGGAGAAUCAGCAGUUACAGGAAUAGUUGUGGGUGCCUUGCUUGGAGCAGGAUUGCUAAUGGCUUUUUACUUUUUCAGAAAGAAAUACAGAAUAACUAUUGAGAGACGAACUCGACAGGAGGACUGUAACAUGGGGAAACAUCGGCAGUUACGUGAAGACUCCAUUAGAUCUCAUUUUUCUGCUGCAUAAAGAAGAGGAAAAAGAAUCCCAUUCUUCCUAGGGAAAAAAAAAUAAUUAGGGAAAAGGACACAACCAAAGACAUCAGUGUAGAAAGAGGCUCUUGAAGAACAUACUCUUUUAAGCAGUAAUUUUGUCUUAAUUUCUUUCAGAAGCUCAGGAAUGAUUUACUAAUCACAUUAUGCCGCAUGGCCUUUCAUCUCAUGAAAAAAGAAAAUUAUGCGGUUUGAUGUUAUAGGGUGUACUUAAUAUGUAAAGACAGUAUUUCUUAAAGCAUGUAUUGAGGGCAGCAGAUCUGGGUUUAGUUGAUGGGGAAUGCCUCAUUGUGUUCCUUUUUUUUUUUUUUUUUAGCUUCUACCACCUCCUUCCAUAAUUGCAUCUCAUCCAUGGGUGUCAGAUAUGGUUUCACAGGCACAGGUGCUGGUUGCUGUCAAAAGGAAAAAAAGAGAUUUAUUUGGGGUAUGAUCCUGCAUCACUGAAUCACUGCCAUUGGUUAUAGGGGAUAUAAGAUUUGGUGUACGGAGUUUAGUUCUGGGAAAGAACUGGCACUUGGGUCUAAUUAACUCCACUGAAAAAGGCAGGUGGAAACACACACAAUUCUUUCCUUGUUUGUGUGGUAUCACAAUCAAAAGCACUGUUUCUCCCUCUUAAAUGCUGGGAGUUACGAAAGUCUUCAGUGAAGAAUGGGGAGUUUUGGUGGUGUGAAAUAGGGAGAGAAGACAAUCAGGCCUUGGAGAGGACUGUUUAAUUCCUCAGUCUUAACAUGUGUUUUAUCACGCUCUUUUCUCUCCUCUGCCGUGACUUUUCAGAGUGGCAAAUAUAGACCGUGUCGAGCCUGCUCCUGUUCUCAGUGAAGUCAGUGGCAAAAUCCCAUUAACUUCAAUGAGCACAGGACUGCAUCCAAAACUGUAAAUAUGAAAGUGUUUGUAUAGCUGAUGCAAUUAAAAAGGGGAUCUUUUUUUGUGUAAAAAUGACAUUCCAUGCUUCCAUUUUAUUUUUGGGAUAUUUUUUAUCUUGUAUUUUUCUAUUAAAGUAUCUAUUUUUGCUUUGGUAGGAUUAAAAAUAAAGGAAGAGGAUGUUUUGAAGACAUAUUUUUUAUGAUAGGAGUAGUAUGCAGGGAAAGUCAACAGCUGUAAAUACAUUUUAGAACUAGCAUUUAGGGGAGGAGAAGUGACUUUGUUGAUAGUAACAGACUUUCUUCUCCAGGCAUGUGCAACAUUCAAGUAGUUACUUAAACAAUAUAAAUGCAGUUAUUGAGUUGUCAAUGGGAUGAUGGUGCUGAUGGUGAAAAUUACGAAUUUUUCUUGUUAAAGGGUCCUACAGAAGUUGGUGAGAUUUAGCUGUCCCUGUGUGUACAAUUGAACAACCAAGGAACUACCUUCAGGAAUUGGGUGGUAAAACACUCUUCUAGUGGUGACUUUAAUCCUGCUGCCGUCAGUAUCCCUGGGACUUUUGCCAUUGAUUUUAGCAGGAGCAAAACUGAAUCUGUGAUGAAUUAGCUACUGACAGGUUAUUUUAUACUAGACAAAGGAAAGUUUUGCACUUUCUAGUCAACAAAUGGAAAUGAACCGUAUACUUACUGUAAAUGUGGUGAAGAAGACCCAUAAAAUAUUGUCUGUGGGAAAACUGAGCUAUGACUAUGGUUCUAGUGCAUGAAAUAUUUUGGUUUAUCCCGUUCUGAUUUUGUAAGAAAAAAUUGCUGGUCUGAGCUGUCAUAAUCAGAUUUGAAAAUUAAUCUCAAAAAUGGCUCUGAAGCCUGACUUCUACAAAACUUCUCAUCCCUGAGAAGCUAGGGUACCAACUCUGAGAAACCACUUUGGGGUUGCUGUAAGUGAAUGAAGAGUUAAAACCAGCUAUGCCUCCUUUCUGCUGCCUUUUAUUUGUUGAUGGACUUUUUUUCCCAUUAUAUUUCACUCCUUUCUUAGCAUAUAUAGAGGUUCAUCACCUGCCCUUGUUAAAUACUGUCCAAUUUUCCAGACAGACAGAGGGUAGGUCUUCCUGACUGUCAGGGCAGCUCCAGUACAGGGAGUAGAUUUGCAUCAUCCCAUUGCCACCUCUGGGCCUGUGUGACUUCUGCAACGGUGCCUUGGGCAGGUUUCUGAAGUAGCCUCCUUAUCUCAUGGGUACCAGAGAAGAAUGUAGGCUAGAGCAGCAUUCAUACUGCUAUGGAAUUGGGGAGAAAAAAAGACUUUGUGAUUAGUUUAUUUUUCUCAAGCAGUUGAGUUUGCCUAGUCCCUGGGCAUGCUUAAAGUUUGGGGUUUUUUUUAAUAGUUUCCAAGGCAGUUUUGAUCUACUUCUUAUUUUGCAAAGUUGCAUUUCAGUAUCUUCUUUUGCCCGUUUGACUACUUUACCACAGGAAAAAAAGAGAAGGAAAAUUCUUACAUAUAUAAAAAUAAGAGGGUGUGAUUUGAACCAUAAACUUUUUUUGAAAUUAUUUUUGUUGUGACUUUGCAGUGUAAACUAGUACUCAAACAGUCACUUAAGACAGUUGUGUAGAUUUUAUUUUUCCUGUACCAUGCACAGUUGGGUCGGACCAGAAUAUCUGAGACAGGAGAUCCGGCUGGUACAAGAAAUUGUUAAGAGAGUUUGUUUAUUUAUUGUGUCAUUUUAUGAUAACUAUAAAAAAGUAUAGUGAAAUAUUGCUUUUUAUUAAAAAAAUAAUGAUUCUGAUCCUUGGUUUUAUGUAGGGUUUUAAAUCAUGAUCUCAAGAAGUGUUUUCUGUGAGUGUUUCUAUGAGAUGUCUCUUGGUAGGAUGCUGACAGAGGCUUAGCCAAAACUAUACAUCUCAGCACUUCCCAAGAAAGGUGAAUCUUUCUUGCACAUUAGAGUGUUUUAGAUCAAUGGGGUUUAAUCUUUCUACAUUGAUGCACGCAAAUGUGCAUUCCACUUUCCCGUGGAAGUGUGGAGAUUAUUUAAGACAUUUCAGGUAAGUAGAUUCCUGUAUAGCAUAAACAGACUUGCUCAUCUUAGCUGCCUUUCACAGGCCUCUUGCAAAUAGUUCCCAGGUCUUCUCUGGACCAUAGAUCAAAAACUGCCUUGGGUUUAGAUUAUUCAGCGGAGAGAUUCUUUACCGGCUAAUGCACUGUGCCUUUCUGGUUCAUCUGCAUUAGCUCAAUGCCACAAUGUUUAAGCUUCAAACUCUGCAAGGGAAUGUCUAAUCAAAAUAAUAAUAAUUGAUUCUCAAAAGAGGUUUCAAGACCUACAUUUUUGACUUCAGCAAAUUGCCCGUAUUACAAACACACAUCUGUAUUACAGAGCAGCACAAGGAGACCCUUCUCCCAGCUCAGCACUUCAGAACAUACUUAAAAUAUGUUCAACUUCAGCUUCUAAGUGCUUUGCUCACUUGGGACCAAAGGAUAUGGUCCUGGCCAUGGCUGAACCAAGGGGAAAUUUGCCAUGUGCUUGAAUUGGAGAAAGGUUGGCCCUGUAGGUCAUAUGUUUCUUGCUAAAUCUAACAGUUGUGCCUGUUAAAUUGAACUUGAAGUAGCAGCUUCAUACUUUUGUUUGUCAAAGUUUAACAAAUUCUGCUAAUUUUGGUUUGUUUUGUUUUGUUUUUUAAUCACCAAAUAGUGAUCAGCUUAAUGGCUGAUUCACCUCAGAAUCUUCUUCCCAAGGAUUCUGACAGUUUACCUGUCACCUUCUUAACUUCAACACACAGGCUUCCACUGCAAGUGACAAAGAUGAAGCAACACUUUGAAAAGUAUCUGUAAUUUAUUAUCCUGAAACCCACAACUUCAGAGUCAGAUGCCUAGAUGUUUUGUCCCGAGCCACUGGUAGUUCUGGAAGUUUUUUUGUGCUUCAUUGAAGGCUACACCCAGCUAAGCUCUGAAAACAUUCAGUCAUUGGUAAAACUGAUGGUUGUGAGUGGUCUGCACCUUGCAAGAUUGUGGCCAGAAUUCACUAUUAAAGAGUUAGGUUAAUUCAUGUAUGAAAAUAAAUUGAAUUGAUCUAUUUUCAAUUUAGUUUUAAGAAAUGCAUUAUUGCAUUAUUGAAAGCUUUUUUUGAGGUUUUUUUAUGUAUUAAUAAACUGUAGCUAAUGCUUUGAAAACAUUCAUGCUGGAGAAAUUAAGAGUCUUCUCCCUUACAGAAUGUUUUACUGGGAGGUUGAUCUCUGAGUCAUGUUUUGGCUUGGAAGUGCAAACAUACUGUCAUGAAGCUGACAAAAAAACUCUCAUUGAUUCAGUGGAAGUAAACUCAGGCCCUCAGUGCAGUGUCUUUAGGCUUGAAGCAGUUCAGGGUGAGUUUCUCAGCUUUGCAGUAGAACAGGCUGCAUCAGCCUUAGCUGACCUUGGCUCCAGUGCUAUUUUCACCUCAUGAAUGCCAUAAUGCUCCUGGAAAGCCAAGAAUAGACAUCAAAGACAGGAAGCCAAUAGUCCUGGUCAUAAAUUUCUCUGGCAAUUCAGUCCACCUUUCCCGCAGCUCAAGACAUUUCCACAUCCUUCACUGCCCUCCUCUGUGCUUCAGAGUGUGGCCAUGUAGCAGUUCUAGUUCUUUCAGUAAAGCAGUUGAGGUUAUUUUUCCUCAUUUUUGCCCAGGGUAGAGUAAGCAGUCUUUAAUCCCCCUUUUUUUUCAUGGUCUUUUGUGUAGAUUUAGAAGUACUUUGACAAGAGACAGCCAUUUCCCAUAACCUGAUCAGAAAUGUUCCUUCACUGCAAGUGUUGGCUUUCAUGUAAUUUCAGACAUGGUUCAUUGUCUCUAUGCUGCUCAGCUGCCAGCACACCUCGUGUUGGCCCGUGGCCACACCAGCCACUGUGUGAGAUCUAGACCCAGAAUUGUCUAUUGGGUUUUUUUAUCCUAAUUGUUGCUGCUAUAAAAUGAUGUCAGAUCUAGCCACCAGCUUCCCCAAAGCAGGGCAUAUGAGAAGAGAAAUACAAGUUUCUAAUGGUACAUUACCUUUUUUCUUGGUUAGCAUUGUGGCCUAGUAACUCACCUCAUAACAGUGAGCAAUAAAGAGACAAAUUUCAGCAAAGUGCAUGUUUUGGAGGAGUCAGUUUUAGGAAUACAGGAGUUACUUUUUGGAAUAUAUUUUUAAGGACAUGCUGGAAAAAGUUUUGCCUUCAGAUAUGUUGUAUGUGUCACUUCUCCUCCCCCCUUUCCUUCUUGCUGUUGAAAGCACAAAAAGAUUUGUUUGUGUAUGAAACCUUUCAAAUGGGAGAAUGGAAGAGUUUGCACUGUGCUAUCCCUGCUUAGAGAUGGAAAUUAAUUCAGAUGGCUUGAGGCCUGAAUUUUUUUCCCUUCUUAGAUACCUUCUAAUAUCUGAGGUCUGAAACUGAUGAAAAAUGAUCGUUGAAAUUAAAACAAAUAGCUGUUUGUGAGAGACCUCAGACUUGGCUGUCUACAGGGGUCAGCAAGCUGCAUGGCAGACAUUGGUAGUGUCUGUUCUCUUCUAGAGAAUAAAAGAAAGCCUAAACACUGGGGUUUGUCCCACUGAAGUCUUAAGUCUGUCUUAAAUGCAGCUCUCCCUUUAUCUCACCCACAGAGGAAGAAAGGAUAAAGGUUAAAGUUGGUAUUUUUAUGGUGUUACUGCUGGUUUCGAUUGAGAAGAUAAUGCUGCCAUGGUUUUGAGGCUUUCUUGGGCUAGUGUUUAAUUGUGUCCAGUGUAUCAUUACAUAGACUGUUUUAUUACACUAUUACUUCUUCCAGAAUUUACCUUCUAGGAGGUCCUAACUGACAUGCACCAGAUUUACAGAAUAUAAACCUAGCUUUCAAAAAGAGAGGCUUAGAGUUCCUUCAAAAUCUUUCACUAACCACUAAGUUAAUAUUCAGCAUCAAAGGCAAAAUAUUCUAAAUAACCUGACACUGUUAAAGUUUGUAUGUUAAGCUAUAUAAUUUCAGAAAUCUUAGGUGGAUUCAUUAGAUGUUGAAUCUUUGAAAGGUUAAAAUCCACUCUGUGUGAACUGUUGCUUGUGUUUCUGUCAUGUGAAUGUUUCUAGAGGACACUUGAGCAAGCAAAGAAAAUGUACCAAAAUGAGUAUUUAAGAAAAUAAUCUCAUUUAGUUGUUUCUUUUGUAAUCCCAAAUGGUAUGCACAAGGAACACACAAUUCUUCCCCCAGCCCCCCAGCUAUGGACAAAGGUUUUGUUAAUUAGUUGUUUACUGACAGCAGACAUAAUGAGCACAGGUGUCUUGGUUCAUAGUUGAGGAUGAUCUGGACUUCUCUUUCUCUGAGAACAGUGUGUGAAGUGUGAUAGAGGAACGAGCCAUCAGUGGUCAUUUUUCUGGGUUCUGUGUGAGAGGUAAAUGUUUCCUCGCAUGUUUAGUAGCGCCCUGAUGUAACAUUGAGAUCACUUCUGCGGUAUGUGAUCCAUGGGAUUAAAAGAUCUGUUGAAAAUACAGAUCUUUGGGUUAGGGUUAGAGGGGACCUUAAAUAUCAUAGUUCCAACCCCUCUGCCGAAGCAUCUGCAGCUGAGAGAAGAGGGAAAAUGCUCAGGGACUGACUGUACUCCUGCGAUGAUACUAUUGACUGUAUGGAGGAUGGGAUUGAGUUCCUUCUGCACAGUACCAUCUUUAUUGUUCAAUAUCUGCUCUCUUAGAGCUGCAGCAGAAAGCUUUUAAAUCUCACAUAGCCCCCCUGCCUUAAAUGCAGACAGGAUUUAAGUGGUGCAUGGGGCCUGCUCAGGGUGUACUGUGUCCUUAGGUCGGGUAUUUACCCAAUAACACUGUCGUCUUUACUGCGCAGGUCUCAGAGUGCUGAGAAAACUUGAGUGAAGUGGCAGGAUGAAGGCAGUGGGUAGAAUUUGCAGUGUUUCUUGUGCAUAACUAUCAAAAACUAAGAGGACUCAGGAUAGGCACUGUGGACAUUAACUUUGUCCCCCUUUUUUUCAGUGAUACUGUUAUUAAUGUAAAAAUACUGGACAACAGAGAAACCUAGUACCAGUCUAGUAGAAAACAAAUGGAAAGCUGCACAGUAUAUUGUACUGAUAGAAGACGGCAGGAAGACAGACUUCUGACAUCUUUCCUUCAUUGACAGCAAUGGAAAAACGUCUCAUCAACUUUCCUAAAAUGAGCUUUUCACUCAGGCUUGGGAAUAUGGCUUGAGAGAUCAUUGACUGAAUUUGUGUUCAGUGCAUGACCCCCAGGCUAUUAGUGCAUGCCCAACAUGUCAUUAUGUUCACAGUGACAGGACUUUCUUCCACUGUCGCUAGAUUAAUCAUUUUUUUUAGUAGCUUGUCCUUCAAAAUAAAUGCUUGAGAUAUGUGUGAUGAAUUGUGAACAUGUAUACGUAUAUCAAUAUUUAUGAAACAGUUCAUCCAAGUGUGUUGGGUAUCCUUUUGUCAGAGAGCAUCAGCCAGUCUGACAGGUAAAAAUUUCGUGUAGUGAAAUUACUUAAGGCAAUUGAUCUUCAGUGGUAGCAACUUUUGGAUAUCAUUUUAGAUAUCCUGAAACCUAGCUGGACACAUUUUUGUGGCUUUCUUAGGAAACUAUUUCUUGAGGAACAUUCAUCACAUUUCUGAAAAAUUAUGGUGGCCUUUGAGCCAAAUCUUGGUCUUGAACCUCUGCCAAUGUUUUCUUGAGUUGAAAGAGCACUGCCAAUAAAAAAUAAUUGUACAACUGACAGAACCUCUUUUCUUGCCUCCUAUGAAUAAUUUACAGUCUAUCAUGCCAAGAAGGGUCUGCCUAUGUACAUAUGCUACUCUUGGUAAAUAUUCCUAAAUCGUCUUAGGGUUGGUUUGGUGGUCUUUAGUUCUCUACCUCAGAAAAAAAUAAUCAUAUUCCUCUUUUGAUAAGUAAGUGCUCUGCCCAGCUUUUUGUUCUGGCAGUGCACUGGUUUAUUGUCAGUGUUUAUUACUUCUUGACAUUGCCAUCUAAUUUAGACAGUAAAUCCCUGGUUUCAAAUUUUCAUUGCACAUACAUGUAGUUCAGAAAUAAGCUAAUGGCAAAAGUCAUAACCAUGAAUUUAUAAUCAUCCAGGACAGGCAACAUAGGAAGCCCAUGUCUAUGUAAGCCCUGUUCUUCUCCCACUUGUGUUUCUGCAGUACCAAAACAAUGUCCUCAGCCUGCCCUAUUCCUACUGCUCACUAUGUGAACAACCUCCAACAACUACUACUGGGCUGCCUGUAAGCCAGCAAACUUCCCCUUUUGGGGUCUAGCAGGCUGAUAGCACAGUUAUACCAUAUAAAACAGAAAGGAGAAGCAGUGCUUGAGCUUCUUCCUCCCACAUCUUGCCUGUCGUUACAGUAGUAGUGCUAUGACUGGGGGAAAACCAGCAUCCUGGCUUUGGAUGAGGUAUGGAGCUGCAGUUUUUCUGCCUCCCAAGAGAAAAAUAUGAAUGUGGACCAGUGUUUUGCUCUACUCAUUUACUGUUGUAUAAAAAAUGAAAAUUCUGCAUGUAAAGGUAUUUAAAAAUAAUUUUCCCGUAAUCUAAAUGCCUAGACUACUAGACUACAGCAGGCAUUUCUCACUUCUUAUUUCUCUUGCUGCAGCAGAACAAUUUUUUUAUCAUUAUUUUGUCUUCAAAUGGGAAGAGCGAGAAGGUAGACUAUACUGGAGCACAGUGGCAAUUUUCACAGCAACAUGGAUUUGAGGAUUUAAAUCCCUCUUAAACCCUGACAGAAGAAAGGUAUGAUCUGGUGCUUGUUACAGCCCUGGUAAUAAAUAUUUAUUAAAAUGACUGUAGUAGGAACAGUCCCUCUGAGUGUGACUUAUGUAUCCUUGCCAAGUUAGAUGCCUGA